AUGAACGUGUCGGAAGGAUCAUUACCGAGAAAGGGGCCCCGGCCCCUUAUUCUUCACCCACUGCGUAUCUACCCUUGUUGCUUUGGCGGGGAAGCCCGCCAGAGGCCCUCCGAAACUCUGCGUGAACAGUGGCGUCUGAGCUGUUUCUUAAUAUAUAAAAACUUUCAACAACGGAUCUCUUGGUUCCAGCAACGAUGAAGAACGCAGCGAAAUGCGAUACGUAAUGUGAAUUGCAGAAUUCAGUGAAUCAUCGAAUCUUUGAACGCAUAUUGCGCCCCUCGGCAUUCCGGGGGGCAUACCUGUUCGAGCGUCAUUGCACCCCUCAAGCGUUAGCUUGGUAUUGGGCGUUCGCCGGCAGGCGUGCCUGAAAAUCAGUGGCGGCCCGGCGCGGCUUCGAGCGUAUUGAAUGUCCUACCGCUCUGCAAGACCGCCCCGCGGCCGGCCGCCCCAUCCACCACGGAUCUCGUUUAAUUGACCUCGGAUCAGGUAGGGAUACCCGCUGGCUUUAAGCAUAUGGUGCCCGUCCGGCCUAUUGAUGAUUACCCGUAGAGCGCAAGCUGCACUCCAGUUGCCUGAGAACACCCACAUACGAUGUGGUGUGUGACCUUUUGCGAGGGAAUGCCUUCAUUGAUAGCCCACUGUAUCUGAAAGAACGUGUAUGACGACUGUUACCUCUCGACCUGAGGUACUACCCGAUGAACUUAUGAAUAUAAGCAU
rnacentral:rRNA from 1 species